GGUUAAGCGACUAAGCGUACACGGUGGAUGCCCUGGCAGUCAGAGGCGAUGAAGGACGUGCUAAUCUGCGAUAAGCGCCGGUAAGGUGAUAUGAACCGUUAUAACCGGCGAUUUCCGAAUGGGGAAACCCAGUGUGACUCGUCACACUAUCAUUAACUGAAUCCAUAGGUUAAUGAGGCGAACCGGGGGAACUGAAACAUCUAAGUACCCCGAGGAAAAGAAAUCAACCGAGAUUCCCCCAGUAGCGGCGAGCGAACGGGGAGGAGCCCAGAGCCUGAAUCAGCAUGUGUGUUAGUGGAAGCGUCUGGAAAGGCGCGCGAUACAGGGUGACAGCCCCGUACACAAAAGCGCAUGUGCUGUGAGCUCGAUGAGUAGGGCGGGACACGUGGUAUCCUGUCUGAAUAUGGGGGGACCAUCCUCCAAGGCUAAAUACUCCUGACUGACCGAUAGUGAACCAGUACCGUGAGGGAAAGGCGAAAAGAACCCCGGCGAGGGGAGUGAAAAAGAACCUGAAACCGUGUACGUACAAGCAGUGGGAGCCCCACCACUAAGCCAGUGGUGAACUCCACAUACGCAUCCUUUGCUGAGGAUACGGUUAACGGAGCGAAAGCGACGUUCAACCGCAAAAGAAGCAGAGGGGGCUUAGUGGUGGGGUGACUGCGUACCUUUUGUAUAAUGGGUCAGCGACUUAUAUUCUGUAGCAAGGUUAACCGAAUAGGGGAGCCGGAGGGAAACCGAGUCUUAAUUGGGCGUUAAGUUGCAGGGUAUAGACCCGAAACCCGGUGAUCUAGCCAUGGGCAGGUUGAAGGUUGGGUAACACUAACUGGAGGACCGAACCGACUAAUGUUGAAAAAUUAGCGGAUGACCUGUGGCUGGGGGUGAAAGGCCAAUCAAACCGGGAGAUAGCUGGUUCUCCCCGAAAGCUAUUUAGGUAGCGCCUCGUGAA
rnacentral:rRNA from 1 species